rnacentral:rRNA from 1 species
CGUAAAGACGCAUGCAGGUGGUUUGUUAAGUUCAGAUGUGAAAGACCCGGGGCGUCAACCUCGGAAUAGCAUUUGAAACUAGGCAAACUAGAGUACUGUAGAGGGGGGUAGGAAUUUCAGGUGUAGCGGUGAAAUGCGUAGAGAUCUGAAGGAAUACCGGUGGCGAAGGCGGCCCCCUCGGACAGAUACUGACACUCAGAUGCGAAAGCGUGGGGAGCAAACAGGAUUAGAUACCCUGGUAG